UACGAAGGGGGCUAGCGUUGUUCGGAAUUACUGGGCGUAAAGCGUGCGCAGGCGGCUUCUCAAGUCAGGGGUGAAAGCCCAGAGCUCAACUCUGGAAUUGCCUUUGAGACUGAGUGGCUUGAGUACGAGAGAGGUGAGUGGAAUUCCCAGUGUAGAGGUGAAAUUCGUAGAUAUUGGGAAGAACACCGGUGGCGAAGGCGGCUCACUGGCUCAUUACUGACGCUCAGGCGCG
rnacentral:rRNA from 1 species